rnacentral:misc_RNA from 1 species
GAGGUUACCUGAAAAACAUGGCGGACGACGGAAUUUUGUUUGCAAAAAUUUUACGUCAAUUUGCCAGAUCGUCUGCAGCGAUUAACCCAGCACCUGAAGAUAAAGUUGCAAGGUUGUUGUCACUAUGUCCAAAAGAGAUCAAUGGUAGAUUUUCCUUUGACCAGAGGGGACAAGAUGCAAUAAUAUCCCUUGGAAUAUUUUUGUUGGAGUCUAACUUGCAGAAAAAAGAAGUGAUAUCAACAUAUCUGCUCAAAGUUCUAAGAUGUCUUCCCAACUCACUUUGGACUGGGAAACAUAAGCCAGGAAAGGGACAAACACUACCAAGAUGUGAAAACUUCAGUUUUUGUUUGAAUACCAUUUUAAGUGACCUAGCAUUCAAGGACACCAAACUACGAGAGGAGAUCCUGAAUGUUCAGUUGGAUGUUCUAGAGGCCCUUAUAAAACAGUGUGAAGAUAAAGAAAAUGCCAAAGAAGAAAAAUUGUCACUGAUAACUAUCCCAGUCCUGUUUGGAUUGAUUCGGGCUCUGGGGCGAUCCAGUGAUGGAAGCAAGCACCUGAUUUCCUUACUCUACCCAUCUGAGUCUGUCCACAAAGAACUUAGUGUCCCCUCGAAGGAGGAGGAGAAUGAGGAGGACGAGAACACUUUUACCUUCCGCUCCAUCCUCCCACGCACCAUCUCGUCUCAUCUCAUCUAUUCAGACCCUAACUCCCCUGUCUCACCCACAAGAGGCAAUGUACCAGAAAUACCCACAACAAAGUUCAGAGAGAGGUCACCAGCCCCUCUAGGUGUGCAGGACCCUGGCCCAUCAGUUACUUUGGAACAUGCAGACCAAUGUCUACAGGGACGAAGAAGGCACGGUCAAAGAUGAGAACAUUGGAGAGGAGAUGGAGCUGCUGAUGACAAGGAUCAAGGAAUCAUUCUCUGGACCAGCCAAGAGAUUCUAUGAAAGGGAAUUCGACUUUUUCGGAAAGAUCACUGCCAUAUCAGGCACAAUCAAACCCUAUCCCAAAGGAGAUGAAAGAAAAAAAGCAUGUCUUGAAGAACUAAGGAAAAUUGAAUUGCAGAAAGGCUGCUACCUACCAUCUAAUCCUGAAGCUAUAGUCACAGCCAUUGACAAGAAUUCUGGCAUACCAUUACAGAGUGCUGCGAAGGCUCCAUUUUUGGCACGUUUCCGAGUCCAGCGCUGUGGAAUUCACGACCUUGAGAUGCUGGGAAUGAGUGAGGAAGAAAAUCAUGGCAUGAAGAACUCAGCUGAAGUGUGGCAGGCAGCCAUCUUCAAAGUGGGGGACGAUGUCAGACAGGACAUGCUGGCUCUGCAGGUGAUCUCUCUCUUCAAGAACAUAUUUGAGCAGACUGGGUUAGAGUUGUAUCUGAUGCCAUACAGAGUGGUGGCUACAGCUCCAGGGUGUGGGGUGAUUGAGUGUGUUCCAAACAGUAAAUCUAGAGAUGAAAUCGGCAAGAAAACAGACAUCACUUUGUAUGAUUACUUCCACAAAACAUUUGGUGAUGAUGAUACACCAGAAUUCCAGACAGCCCGUCGUAACUUUGUGGUCAGUAUGGCAGCGUACAGUGUGGUCACCUUCCUUCUACAGAUCAAGGACAGACACAAUGGAAACCUGAUGAUUAACAACACAGGCCAUCUGAUACAUAUAGAUUUUGGUUUCAUGUUUGAGAGUUCCCCAGGAGGAAACAUUGGCUGGGAGCCCCAUUUCAAGCUAACUGAUGAAAUGGUCAACAUAAUGGGAGGUACCAUGGAGGCGGCACCAUUCCAGUGGUUCAUGGAGCUCUGUGUCCAGGGAUACCUGGCUGUCAGACCUUACCAUGAGACUAUCAUCACCCUGGUGUCCCUUAUGUUAGACACAGGGCUGCCCUGCUUCAGGGGUCAGACCAUCAAACAGCUCAAGGACAGGUUCCAGCCAAUGGCUACGGAGCACGAUGCCGCCGAGUACAUGAAGCGAAUCAUAAAAGAGUGCUUCCUCAGCUGGAGGGCCAAGUCCUACGACUGGAUCCAGUUCUAUCAGCAGAAUAUUCCAUACUAAGGCCAUAUUCUAUGACUGGAUCAAGACCUACUACUGGUUCCUACUCUAUCAGCAGAAUAUUCCAUACAAUGUCUGUUUCAGUCUAAACAUUCCAUAGUAAGGGUUAUCUCCCAAUAAUUUUGAAUCAGUCGUGUUGAGGAUUGCUGUCAUAAUAGGAAUUACUGUAUAACAAUGUGACUUCAGGAUAAGAACUUUAUAACUAUUUAUGUAGUACAUGUAUUGACUUCAAGUCUCUCACAUUUCAUUUGCUUUCCCUGAAUGUUCUGUCGGUAUUUCUGGUGUUAUUAAUGUGUCAACUUUAUAAGGUGUGCUCCUAUUUCCAAGUCUACAAUAUUAAUUUUUUUUUAAAUGACAACAAACUUAUCCAAACUUCAAUGAUAGCUUUUAAACAGUUUUACUGUGUGUCCAUUUUUUUGUUUGUUUAAUUUGCAUGAUUACCAAAGGUCUGGCAAUGCACUUACUUUUAUUUUGAAUUCUGGACAAGUUACGGUAUAUUUUACACAUUUUAAAGAUAAAAUUGUCAUCCAAUGCAUUAUUACACAAUCAAUUCCUCUUGCCAACACAUGCUAAAGCUACACACAUUGCAUUUCCUCUCACUGGUAAAGAAAACCAAACACUAUACACAUAGUGUACAUUUACCAAUUACAUUAAACAUACUCAUUAGACUUAUGAUAUUGAUAAGUUGUGCAAGAAUAGGAUAUUGUUGGAAACAGUACAACACUAGAUAUGUAGAAUUAUAAUUAUAUAGUCUGUUCAGCAUUUUCACUUGUAGCUAAAAUGUAUAUAAAAGUAAGGAUGACUGCAUAAUAUGUACCUGAACAAGUUUUGUCUGUGAUACUGAAUUGUGCAAUAUUGCUUUAGUCUUAAAAUAAAUGUAUUCCACAUUU